rnacentral:ribozyme from 1 species
UGCCCAGCAACUCCUAUUCCUACUUCCUCGUGGUGCUGGCCGGGGUACGAGUAACCUUAGGGAAGAUCGGGUAACCAACCCGGAGGGAGCUUUGGUCGUAUGCUAACAGGGAGGG